UCCUUUACUGAUCCCUGGGUAUGCGUCCAAAAAUAGCGUCAACACAUGCCCCCCAAUUUCGGAGUAUAAAAUCAUUAAUGCUCCAAAAUUCUCUGCAAUAAUGAUGUCUUUCCGUAAUUAACUCUCCCAAUUUGGCAACCGACUGUUGAAGUCGAACAACCCUGGCCCGAUUCUUCUGCAUAUCCCUUGAAUUCCUCAACCUUCCAAACUGGACAUCCCCACUUUAUUCGCCCAUCGGCAAUAUUACCGUUAGAGGGAGCUGCCGAUGGACCGACCAGGAGAUCCUGCACAGUGAAAUAUCUCCAAAAUCAAUAUCGCUUACUGUCAAAUCACCUGUGCAAUCCCUUGAUUAUCGUGCGAAUAGUUACCAUAUCCAUCUAAACACCCUCGAAUUUCACAGAUGCGGCAAAGAGAUAAGUCAGAUUUGCCCCUACCCGUUUUGUCCUAUAAAUACUUCCUUCUUGGGUACUCCUUCUCCAUCUUGUCAUUCUACAGCCAAAAAACCACUUCCUUGGCGGCGGCACCACCCGAGGACUCCAAGAACUUGAUCGAAGGCUUCCUUCACCAAUCUCCUAAGUCUUCGAUCUUCUUCCUUGCCCGAAAAUGGCCAUCAACUUUGUCGUCCCUGAGGUUAGUUUACCACCCUGUCUCCUGUAUUUUUACCAUACCCCUGUUCAUCCGCGAUUCAUCUUACUGAACAUCCCCCUUUUUUUUUCUUUUGUUCUUCUUUUUAUCCUUAAAAACUUCUAGGAUUUUUCCAAUAAGAUUGUCAUUCCUACCGAUCAACCCCAUCUUCAAUGCCUUGGUCCACUAUGAAACUUGGAUCCCACUGAUCUUAUAAACGCGGAGAGGCAGUAGAGAAAUUAUCCAUUCUAUUAUUUAUAUUUUCUAUCAUUUUAUCAUUAGAUGCCAAUUUCUUAGAUAGGUUAUCCAUUAGCUUUCCUUGAUUAGACACUAACUCUCUCAGAGGUGAAAAAUUAUUAUUAUUGUAAAAAUUGUUACCUUGAUAAUUACCUGAGUAGUUGUUGAUGCAAAAACUGAUCUGCAAACACAUUGGGCUAAUACCCGAUUCAAACGUUAAGGUGUGCCAGCCGAUUUGACCUUACUAUCGGCAAAGGUGAUAACUCGAACACUUUGGUCCCGACAACAGCG
rnacentral:lncRNA from 1 species